AGGCGUGCUCAGUGUGUGUUACGAGGGUGGAACUAGGCUAUGUCACACUCGCUCAAAUGCUACAAAGGCAAGACGGCGGGGCAAGGCUGUGCUAAAGAUUGGUUAUAUGACGCGCCGAUGUCUCGUUUCCUACUCAACCAAUUGCUCUUAUUUUUUUUAAAGCAAAGGAGACAGCACAAGGGCACACAAAAAGGGGAAAAAUAAAAAAAAGCCCGCUAAUCGCUGCUCCUGUAAAGAAUCCGAAGAGGUGGCCGAAAGAGCAGUCAAUUGCUUUUAUGUUGUGAUAUGCGUUUUAUUAACCUUUAAACCUCCCGGCAAGCCAUAGGAAAGAGUGGGGAGAUCAAAACAAAUGUGAAAAUAUCCAUGAAAUAUGUGCGGGAGCCCUCGCAGCCCCUAUACGGCGGAGUGGCCAAAUGGGUCCCGCGGCAGCCAACACCCGUGGCUCACCUCAGCUAAAACCCAAUAGGCUUUUACCUACGGGUGCUUCGCCCCCUUUGAUCCUCCUUAUAGCUACUAAAAGACAGGUGAAUAUACAUGAACCUCCUGAUGGGGGGGGUGGGGGGGGGCAUCGCUCCCCUCAACCCGCCUGUUUCUUCGUCGCAUUUGGCCGCUCCGCCGCCCGCGCGCUAACAGUCACGUUUCAUGGCUAUUCUCACACUUGUUUUGAUCUUCACAUUUUUCCCUGCGGUUUUCCGGGAAGGUUGAAGGUUAGUAGAAUACAUGUACGACAACAGGAGAGAAGUUAGUUAAGUAGGAGACGAAAUGUCGACUGGUUACAGAAAGAUUUAAACAGGUCAGGAAAUUAUAUAAAGGCAAAAAGUGGGACAAGGCUGUUACAGAGGGUUAAACGCAGAGGUAUGAGGCCAUGAAACAGUCUCUCAAGAGGCUAUAACACCAUUAUCGGUAGGGCAAGGAAAAGAGGAGGUUCUAAGCUUUGCUGCAGAAAUAAAACUCAUAAGGAUUAGUCUAUGAAACAGUCUCUCAAGAGGCUAUAACACCAUUAUCGGUAGGGCAAGGAAAAGAGGAGGUUCUAAGCUUUGUUGCAGAAAUAAAACUCAAAAGGAUUAGUCUAUGAAACAGUCGCUGAAGAGGCUACACGAGAACAAGGCAAGGAGGAAGAACUAGAAUUAUGUUACUAAGGGUCUCACAUCCACUCACUCCUUCAGCCAGUUAGAAGACCCGUCAUUCAUUCACUCAGUCAGACAUUCAUGCUUUCACACAUUCAGUCUGUCAAUUCAGUCAGUCAAAACCAGAAAGUCAGUCAAAUCAGUAAGUCAGAGCAGUCUUUCAUUUUUUGUCAGUCAGUCACAUCUCAUUCAGCUAACAUUAAAUCAGUCAAACAGUCAAAUUAGAUAGAUAUCCACGCUUUUAUACAUCGUCAGUCAGUCAAUCAGUCAGUCAGUCAGGCAGGCAGUCAGACAGGCAAGUUACAAUGGUUUACCCUCAUCAAAUACAUAUUCACGCAUUUAUGUUCCAUCAGUCAGUCAAUCAGUCAGUCAGUCAGUCAGUCAGUCAGUCAGGCAGGCAGGCAAGUUACGGUGGCUUACAUUCAUAUCAAUUACAUAUUCGCAUAUUUAUUUGCUAUCAGUCAGUCAAUCAGUCAGUCAGUCAGUCAGACAAUCAGUCAAGUUACAAGUAUUUACAGUUUAUAUAUACACACUUUCUGUCAAACUUAACCAUUGAAUUAAAAACAUAUUCACGCUUCACAAUAAAAUGCAUAUUCAUUUAUUUAGGGUCAGUCAGUCAGUCAAUCAGUCAGUCAGUCAGUCAGUCAAGUUACAAGGUUAUACACACACACUCCCUGUCUAACCAAACCUCCCUCAAACCAGUCAGUCAGUCAGUCAGUCAGUUAGUCAACCAGUCAGUCAGCCAGUCAUUCAUUCAUUCAGUCAGUCAGUCAAGUUCCAAGGUUAUACUUAUACACUCCCUGUCUAACCAAACCUCCCUCCAGCCAGUCAGUCAGUCAGUCAGCCAUUCAUUCAUUCAGUCAGUCAGUCAGUCACCCAGUCAUUCAUUCAUUCAUUCACUCAGUCACUCAGUCAGUCAGUCAGUCACCCAGUCACUCACUCACUCACUCAUUCAUUCAGUCAGUCAGUAAGUCAGUCAGUCAGUCAGUCACUCACUCACUCACUCACUCACUCAUUCAUUCAUUAAGUCACUCAGUCAGUCAGUCGUUCCAAGGUUAAACACACACUCCCUGUCAGACCUAAUCUUGCCCCACACCACAUGUUCUUCCGUUAAUAACUAUGCCACCAGAGCCAAGGCCGCGGGAACAUGGCAAAAAGUGACCUAUAUGUGGUAGCCUUCCCAACUUAUGCCACCUUCCCCCUCCUCUUCCUCCUCCCGCUGUCACUCCUCCUAACUUUUAAUCUUUGUUCUAAAUAUAUAUACGAGUAACCUUCUGCUUCUUUUCAUCUCCCUUCCUCUUCCCCUUUCCUCUUCUUCAUCUUCUGUUUUUUUCAUUUCUCUUUCUUUUUUAUUUUUUCUCUAUCUCUUUGUUUUGUUUUUCACUGUUUUUCUAUUGUGGUUCCUCUUUCAUCUUUAUUCUUCACUCCUCUUCUGCGUAUGAUGACUUUUUUUUUCUCUCUUCUCUUCCCUUUUCUAACCUUCUCUCAUCUCUCUAUCUUUUCUUAUUUCUAUUCCUCUUCUUCCAUUUCCUCUCUCCUCCUCCUCCUCUUCCUCCUUUCCUUCUAUAUUUACCUUCUUCUAUUUCUUUUCAUUCCUCUUCUUCCCUCUUUCCUUCUCCCUUCUUUCACUCUUUUCCUUUCAUCUUUAUUUUAUUUAUACGCUUAAACUUAUAUUUCUUUCCAUCUCUCUUCCUCUUCUCCCCUUCGUUCUUAUUUACUUUUUAUUCCCCUUUCAUCUUCCUCUUUAUUCAAACACGAACCGAAUCCUCUCUCUUCCCUUUUUCUUACUAAUAUCAACAAACACUCGACAUCAAAACCUUCCCAUUGUUUCUCUCAUCUUUGGAACUUAUUGUCAUGCAUUCGAACCCUCUAUAAACCUUGGAAUAGGAUCAGAAACUCUUUAGCGUGUGAGAUCAGUGACAUAUCUUAGGUUCAGGGGGUGCUGAGGUGUUAUGCUUGGCACCUAUGAACGUCUGUCUGUCUCAGUUGCUGGUUUUGGCAUUCGCUGUUGACAGUCAUGAGUUUAUUACGUUUAAUGCCUCUUUUGAAUAUCUGAGUUUCCAUUCACAUAUGUUUCUGUCUUUAUCUUUAUCUUAUGUAUUUAUAUCUUUAUCUAUCUUUAGUUUUAUCUUUUGUAUAUGUUUAUCUUUCUCUAUCUUUUGUAUGUUUAUAUCAAUCUUUGUCUAUCUUAUUUUUGUCUAUCUUAUCUUUAUCUUUAUCUUUUCUUUCUCCUUCUCCAUUCUCCUUCACCUUUUAUCCCUCCCUCCCUCUCCUUGUACUAGAAAAAAAGCACUAAACUACCUUGACCUGUAUGUUUAAAAAGGUGUUUGACUAUUAGCUUUAGGAGUACAUAACUUUACACACGUAUAUUUGAUAAUGUUUGCACGAUACUCAUUCAAUUACGAUGAUGAAUAAGGAAUAUCACAGUAGUAUAAAAAUUUCUACCGUAUUUACACGAAAACUCUACGGUGCUGUCUUGCCGGAUUUCCAUUACCUGUUCUUUAUUAAAUUUCAGUAUUUCUUCAGCAGUGUUUAAUAUUUUCUUCAUUAAAAUUUCGCUGAUUAUUACAGGAUGAAUAUCAAACCACCUGUAUAUUAAAACUCUACGGUUCUCUCUUGCAAGAUUUCAAUAUAAAAAAAUCCUUGAAACUAACCUAACUGUAUUUCUUCGGCUAUUAUUAAAUGUUUCAAAUGCUUCAAACUCAUAAGUAUAGUUCCUUCCUUAGUAUUUCCUUUCUCUGACGUUAACUAUCACAGGAAGACUUAAAUACACCACGAUACCGAAACUCUACCGUACUGUCAUGCCAAUUUUUCAUUACUUUCAUUAAACUCGUAAGUAUAGUUUUUUCAGUAUUUUCUUUUUCCUGUGACUAUUACUGGUCGAGUAUCAAAACAUCUCUCUGUUGAAACUCUACGGUCCCGGCUUGCCAAAUUUACAUUGCCCAUAUAGGAAUCAUAAGCAACUAUAAUUCCUGUGUUUCCUUCGACCUGUGACUUACUCUAUUACAAGACACCUCUAUUCCAAACUUCUAUGGUAUUAGUAUUUAUUCAGGUUUUAUCUAUUUAGCUGUUCAUUCAUAUUGGUAGGUGUAUUUCCGCUUAGUAAAUUCAACAACAUUUUUUUUCUUGCCUAUGUAUUCAAAUGGUGAAUUCACUGGGCAACAACAAAUUUAUCGUCUAAGUUUUUUUUUUAGCUGAUUUAGGAUAGUUUUGAUGUGCUGAAUCCAAAAAAUCACAUUGGUUUUGCUCAAUCAGGUCAACUUUUUUUUAUCUAUCUGCCGAUUUCCUUCUGGGGAGCAUUAUUUUUUUCUGCUUCCUCUAGUGUGAUUAAAGAAAACGAAUGGGAAGUUUAGAUGCACAGGAAAUUGGAUCAAGUUUUUUUUUUAUAACAAAGGAGACAGCUCAAGGGCACACACAAAAAAGGAAACAAUAAUAAAAAAAAGCCCGCUACUCGCUGCUCCUAAAAAAAAGAAUCAAAAGAGGUGGCCGAAAGAGAGGUCAACUUAUGGAGGUGGUGAUAAUGUGCUCAAUGGGGCUUUACUCAGACAUUACAGGGAAUUUAUUAAAAUUUCCGGGGUACAGUUGUCACGCAUGAUAGACAAAGACCCAAACUUGUACUCAUUCCUCGUUCCUGUUUGCAAGAAAUGGAUAGACGAGGAUGAUGAUAAUUGGCAGACUCUACCUUCACAAGUUUAUCAUUCAAUUUAGUUUAGAUGCACAGGAAAUUGGAUCAAGGUAGUAAUUAUGUGCUCAAUGGGGUUUUACUCAGAAAUUUCAGGGAAUUCUAUCAAAAUUUCCGAGGUACAGUUGUCACGCCUGAUAGACAAAGACCCAAACUUGUACUCAUUCCUCGUUCCUGUUUGCAAGAAAUGAUAGGCGAGGUGAUGAUAAUUAGCAGACUCUACCUCCACAAGUUUAUCAUUCACUUUCUUAUUUUCACGGUUCGUUUAUGCAUUUCACCAACAAAACUUGAGUAUUAGUACGUAUGGGUGUCUGUAAUGGCUCUUAUUUUUCGUUAGUGUAUGAGUUAUUCUUUUUUUCUAAUGCAUCGGUAGACGAGUACCACUUUUGUCUUUUGCUACGGCGGAGGAGGCAGCUCAGAGGCCAAUAAAAAAAGAAAAAAACUGAAGCAGAAAAUAAUACCCGCAAUGUCACUACUUCACCCCAAAAGAAAAGUUGAACAACAUUUAAAAAAAAUAUAUAUGUCUGCGUAUAAGUUUAUUUUUUUACAGCAAGGAAGGCAACUCAAGGGAGAAAACAAAAUAACAACAACAACAACAACAACAACAAAGCCCACUAAACGCUACUCUAACAAACAAAAAAUGGAGGUCAGAGAAGACAAUUUUGAAUGGAGAGGUGUCUUGAUACUCUCCUGCUAGGUUAGGUUACGUUUGGUUAGGUCAGGUCAGGAUAUGUCAGGUUUGGUCAGGUUAGGUUAGGUCAGAUUAGGUCAGGUUAGGUCAGUUCAGGUUGGGCUAGGUUAGGCUAAGUCAGGUUAAGCUAGGUUAGGUCAGGUCAGGUUGGGUUAGGUUAGGUCAGGUCACGUUGGGUUAGGUUAGGUCAGGUCAGGUUAAGUUAGAUCAGCUCAGGCUAGGUAAGGUUAGACUAAGUCAGGUUAAGCUAGGUUAGGUUAUGUCAGGUCAGGUUAGGUUGGGUUAGGCUAGGUCAGGUCAGGUCAGGUCAUAUUAGGUCAGGUCAGGUCAGGUUAGGUUAGAUCAGCUCAGGUUGGGUUAGGCUAGGUUAGGUUAGGUUAGGUUAGGUUAGGCUAGGUUAGGCUAGGUCAGGUCAGGUCAGGUUAGGCUAGGUCAGGUUAGGUUAGGUUAGGUUAGUCAGCCAUCCUUUGCAGCUUGCCAGGAAAAAUGGUCUUGUUUAUGAACGCCAAGCUUUCUUAACACACACACACACACACACACACACACACACACAGCUGCUUGGUGGAAUGUGUGUGUGUGUGUGUGUGUGUGUGUUUUCCCCAAUAUGUUCUUACCUAUUUUUACCUGAACUGAGUCAAGAACAAAAUGGUCUGUAUUAUUUUUACUCCUAUUUAAUCUGAUUUCUCUUUCGUUUCUUUCUUUUUUGCCUUCCUUUUUUCAUUUCUUCAUUUCUCUAUUCUUUUUUAUUUCUUUUUUUCACUUAUUUUUAUCUAGUCUUCACAUUCCUUUAUUUUCUUUCUUUAAUUCCUUCUAUCUUUCUAUUUUUUUUAUUGUGUUAUAGUAGUGAAGAUUGUGUGUGUGUGUGUGUGUGUGUGUGUGUGUGUGUGUGUGUGUGUGUGUGUGUGUGUG